rnacentral:rRNA from 1 species
UACAUAGGGUGCAAGCGUUGUCCGGAAUUAUUGGGCGUAAAGAGCUCGUAGGCGGUCUGUCGCGUCGGCUGUGAAAACCCGGGGCUCAACCCCGGGCCUGCAGUCGAUACGGGCAGACUAGAGUGCGGUAGGGGAGACUGGAAUUCCUGGUGUAGCGGUGAAAUGCGCAGAUAUCAGGAGGAACACCGGUGGCGAAGGCGGGUCUCUGGGCCGUAACUGACGCUGAGGAGCGAAAGCGUGGGGAGCGAACAGG